rnacentral:rRNA from 1 species
AAAACUUCUGUUCGUUNGGAGAAGAAUGGUCGGCAGAGUAACUGUUGUCGGCGUGACGGUAUCCAACCAGAAAGCCACGGCUAACUACGUGCCAGCAGCCGCGGUAAUACGUAGGUGGCAAGCGUUAUCCGGAUUUAUUGGGCGUAAAGCGAGCGCAGGCGGUUUUUUAAGUCUGAUGUGAAAGCCCUCGGCUUAACCGAGGAAGCGCAUCGGAAACUGGGAAACUUGAGUGCAGAAGAGGACAGUGGAACUCCAUGUGUAGCGGUGAAAUGCGUAGAUAUAUGGAAGAACACCAGUGGCGAAGGCGGCUGUCUGGUCUGUAACUGACGCUGAGGCUCGAAAGCAUGGGUAGCGAACAGGAUUAG